AGGAGAGGACGCGGCCGCUGGGUGCUGCUGCGAGUCCCGGCAGCCGUGGGCAGGGCACCUGAAACCUCCCUGCAUCUGCUGGAGGACGUUUGUGGUGGAAACAGUGACCGCCUCAGCGGCCUCAGUCCCGAGUCGCAAGGUAGAUCUGUGAAUGUUGUCAAAAGAGGGGCACAGGAACUAAAUAUUCCUCUUUUAUGGGACAUACGAAAACAAUAUUUGUGUUCCUCCGGCCUUUUCUGCUGUUGCCUGCACUCUCAGUGCUUCCCAGGGAAGGCAGUGGUCCUCGACCUUUCCCUCUAGACCCCCUGGGAUGGCGACCUCAUGACCGCCAAUCCUUGGCCAACGUCUGCAUCCUUGGGAUGCUGAAGCCAUUUGAGAAGAAAUGUGAUGGACUCGAAGGGCUUGUGAUGUGGCUAAACAUCUAUUCUGAAACACUUCCCAUCAGUUUGACAUCGAGGUACGUUCGUCCUGUUGGAGACUAUCCUACGGGUAGUAGCAGAAAGCUGAUGGUUAACCAGUACAUACAGGAUCUUCUGUCAUUUCAUUGCUAA
rnacentral:lncRNA from 1 species